rnacentral:tRNA from 1 species
GCAUUGGUGAUUCAGUGGUAGAAUUCUUGCCUUCUAUGCAGGAGACCCAGGCUCAAUUUCCAGUCAAUGUA